rnacentral:rRNA from 1 species
UGGGGAAUAUUGCGCAAUGGGCGAAAGCCUGACGCAGCGACGCCGCGUGAGGGAUGAAGGUUUUCGGAUCGUAAACCUCUGUCAGAAGGGAAGAAGUUAUGUGGUACUAAUCAACCAUGUAUUGACGGUACCUUCAAAGGAAGCACCGGCUAACUCCGUGCCAGCAGCCGCGGUAAUACGGAGGGUGCGAGCGUUAAUCGGAAUUACUGGGCGUAAAGCGCACGUAGGCGGUAUGACAAGUCAAGGGUGAAAUCCCCCGGCUCAACCGGGGAACUGCCUUUGAAACUGUCAAACUGGAGUAUGUGAGAGGGUGGCGGAAUUCCUGGUGUAGGAGUGAAAUCCGUAGAUAUCAGGAGGAACAUCAGUGGCGAAGGCGGCCACCUGGCACAUAACUGACGCUGAGGUGCGAAAGCGUGGGUAGCAAACAGG